AGGAGGUUUGUUUGCUUCAGGAUUAAGCCUAAGCACCCCAACAGACGACUCACUGGAGCACCAGCUGUUUGAGAGCAAGGGGGCCUGAGAAAGAGAUGAGCAAGUCUAGCUGAGGUGCCAAAGAUUUGGGAGAAAGUGAUUCUGUCCUCAACAGCAACCUAGUGUAGAGGGCUGAGCACACAGAGGCAGAUAUCCCAGUACUCACUAUUGCUCCUAGUACUCCUGUACUUCAAGAUUAACUGCAGAAUUUUAUGGGCCACAUCCUGCUGCCAUUUAUGCCUAUAACAUGCCAUUAAUUGCAACACGGUUGGAAACGAAAUACAACUUAAAAGCGGAGAGGACAGGUAGGAAACUGCAAGCACACCCUUGUCAGGAAGCGUGGUGACAGCACAGUGAUGUUGCCCGGAGGAUAAGAGUAAAUCAUCUGAAAAAGACCCCCCCCUUUGGAUGAACAUAAAACCAGGGGCACCCCAGCACCCCUCUGCUACUUCUUGUCGUGCAGCGCUGGCACCUUGAACAACGCGGAAAUGCAGAAAGCGCGGGCCAUCCCCAUCCCCAUCCCUUCGUCUCUCCCGGGGAAA